GUGCAUUACAGGGAGCCGAGUAUCUCGUCCUUCCUCCCCGGCGGCAGAGUGUUUUACUGGGAGUGGAGACAACCGGUCUCACUCUACAACGGCAGUGUCGAUUACAGGGAGAGAAGGGUGUCGCCCUUCCUCCCCAGCGGUAGAGUUUGUUACAGGGAGUGGAGACAACCGGUCUCACUCCCCAGCGGCAGUGUGAAGUACAGAGAGUGGAGUGUGUUGGCAUUCCUCCUGUUAUGAGCAAAUGCAAGUAUUACACGUUUUAGAAUAAAAUGUUGUAUUUCUUAAACUGUGUACUUUGUC